ACGCACGCUGGCGGCGUGCUUAACCCCUGCAAGUCGAACGGAAAGGCCCUGCUUUUGUGGGGUGCUCGAGUGGCGAACGGGUGAGUAACACGUGAGUAACCUGCCCUUGACUUUGGGAUAACUUCAGGAAACUGGGGCUAAUACCGGAUAGGAGCUCCUGCUGCAUGGUGGGGGUUGGAAAGUUUCGGCGGUUGGGGAUGGACUCGCGGCUUAUCAGCUUGUUGGUGGGGUAGUGGCUUACCAAGGCUUUGACGGGUAGCCGGCCUGAGAGGGUGACCGGCCACAUUGGGACUGAGAUACGGCACAGACUCCAACGGGAGGCAGCAGUGGGGAAUAUUGCACAAUGGGCGGAAGCCUGAUGCAGCAACGCCGCGUGCGGGAUGACGGCCUUCGGGUUGUAAACCGCUUCCGCCUGUGACGAAGCGUGAGUGACGGUAAUGGGUAAAGAAGCACCGGCUAACUACGUG
rnacentral:rRNA from 1 species